rnacentral:lncRNA from 1 species
AUAUAUUUUUCUUUCUGUUUGUGUCCAUUUAUGUAAAAUUUCAGAAAAAAUGAGGAUAUCGGUCCAUAUUUGUUAAUUAAAGAAGAAUUGACUUGUUUCAUAUCAAGUGUUGAGCGUAACAACGCAGAAAUAAAGGGAGAAAUAAUAUUAAAAUGUGGGAACCAGGAAUAUUUAGAUGUUGAUAUGACUGUCGAAUUAGAUAAAGAAUGUUGUGACAUUUAUGCAACUCAUUUUGCAAAUAUAAAAAAAAGGAAUAAUAAUUUGAAUAUUAAAUUUUCUUGUACACAUGAAAUCAGUAAAAUUGUAACCUACUACUAUAAAAAUAUGAUAUGUCCCUUUGUUGGUACUUAUAAUUUUAAAAAAAUUAACGAAAAGCAAUCAGAAAUUUGUGUAACUUUAAAAAGGAAUUACAAAAUACCUAAUAUAAAAAUAGGGAAAAAAUCAAAUGACUAUUUUUUUUUAAAAUUACCAUUCCCUACUGAAGUUGUUAACUCCAAUUUAAAAUGCGACAUUGGAAAGAUAGAGUUUGAUAAUAAGAAGGAAAUAAAAUGGCUAUUAAACGACUUUACAAAAGAGCAAGCAAUAUUGUCUGGGCUUAUAGAAUUUAGUAACAUGGAACAAUUUCCGGGGCAGCUAGCUGGAUAUAUUAAUAUUUUUUACAAAUCAAAUUACUCUAAAACUAAAAUUACUCAUAUAAAUAAAAAAGUUGUACCUAACUAUUAUUUUCAAUCAAAACAAAUAAAGAUAAUAAGUUCCUAACAAUUUAUAAAUUUCCUCAUUUUGCUGAUUUUUAUAUGUCUGUUAAAGUUUUUUAAAAAGUGAUUUAAAUAAACGUCCUAUAUGAAAAAAAAAAAAAAAAAAA